GAUGAACGCUGGCGGCGUGCCUAAUACAUGCAAGUCGAGCGAACAGACGAGGAGCUUGCUCCUCUGACGUUAGCGGCGGACGGGUGAGUAACACGUGGAUAACCUACCUAUAAGACUGGGAUAACUUCGGGAAACCGGAGCUAAUACCGGAUAAUAUAUUGAACCGCAUGGUUCAAUAGUGAAAGACGGUUUUGCUGUCACUUAUAGAUGGAUCCGCGCCGCAUUAGCUAGUUGGUAAGGUAACGGCUUACCAAGGCAACGAUGCGUAGCCGACCUGAGCGGGUGGUCGGCCACACGGGAACUGAGACACGGUCCAGACUCCUACGGGAGGCAGCAGUAGGGAAUCUUCCGCGAUGGGCGAAAGCCUGACGGAGCAACGCCGCGUGAGUGAUGAAGGUCUUCGGAUCGUAAAACUCUGUUAUUAGGGAAGAACAAAUGUGUAAGUAACUAUGCACGUCUUGACGGUACCUAAUCAGAAAGCCACGGCUAACUACGUG
rnacentral:rRNA from 1 species